rnacentral:sRNA from 1 species
CGUCGCUGCCACUUCACGGGAAGCUGGCAGACCUGGGGCCCUCCGCCCCGGGCCGAAGAACAGACAAGCGCUGGCCGCCCCUCAUGACGGGCGCCAGCCCAACAAGAAAUUUCGGAUGUACGCAUGUUCCAGGAUGGAGCAUGAACCCCA